UUCCUAUCAAACAGUCACAAAGAAAAGAGUAAAAUAAUUAAGAUGGAGCCAAGUGGUUGUGAUGAAAUUCAGGAGAUAGUGAUAGUAGGUGGAGGCCUUUGUGGACUUGCCACAGCUCUUGCUUUGCACAGGAAAGGGGUAAAGAGUGUGGUAUUAGAGAAAUCAGAAAUAUUCAGAUCAGCAGGAGCAGCCAUAGGUGUAUUCCCUAAUGGAUGGAAGGCACUUGAUCAACGUGGUGUGGCUUCUCAUCUAAGAACUACUGCUCUUCCUAUUCAAGGGUUGCGAAUUAAAUGGAUGGACAAGGGCAAUGAAAAUUUCACACCAUAAAAGAAUAUGGGAGAGGUUCGUUGUCUAAAGAGGAGUGAUAUAGUUGAAACAUUUGCUGAUGCUUUGCCUCCAAAGACUAUACGUUUUGGAUGCGAUAUUGUGUCUGUAGAAAUGGAUCCUAUCACUUCCUUACCGAGUCUUCUACUUUCUAAUGGAAAGCGUAUUGGUGCUAAGGUUUUGAUCGGGUGUGAUGGAUGGAGGUCAAUAGUGGCAAGUUUCCUUGGAUUAAAGCCUGCAAAAACAUUUCAGACUUAUGUAAUCAGGGGUUUAACAAGUUAUCCCAAUGGUCACUCAUUUCCUCUCGAAUUUGUCCGUCUCAUAAUUGGCCAAACCGCAGUUGGGAGACUACCGAUCACUGAUAAGUUGGUACAUUGGUUUGUUGCUGUUCAACAGGGCAUAGAUGCCAAGUUUCCACAAGAUACACAAGUUAUCAAACAAAGAGCCAUUGAGGUAGUAAGUGGUCAUCCAGCUGAUGUACAAGAAAUGAUAGAAAAAUGUGACUUGGAUUAUCUGUCAUUUGAUCACUUGAAAUAUCGCGCACCAUGGGACUUAAUGUUUGGAAAUUUUCGGGAAAAAACAGUAACGGUUGCUGGAGAUGCAAUGCAUGUAAUGGGUCCAUUCCUUGGGCAGGGAGGUUCAUCAGGAAUAGAAGAUGCAGUGGUGCUUGGAAGAAACUUGGCAAAGACGAUUAACGGAAGUUGUUUUGAUCAUGAAGAGGCAUUGGAUCAGUAUAUUAAAGAGAGGAAAAUGAGGGUGGUAAAACUAGCAACACAAUCUUAUCUGACUGCCCUUCUUAUUGAAAAUAGACCAAUGCUCACGAAAAUUGUCGUCGUUGCUGUGAUGGCCAUUUUCUUCAGAAACCAAAGUGCUCAUACUCAAUAUGACUGUGGUCUCCUCUGCUACCAAGUGUUUUGCGCUUUUGUAUCCAUCUUUUGAUAUCUAGGACGCGUGUGUCUACUUGUACAACUUUUUACAAGUUUAAGAGUGAUCAACUGCAACAAUAGUUGCAGCUUAUUUAUUGUUCUCUGUUUAUAUGGGUUUAUCCUACCAUAAUACUUCAAUGAAUACACAACAACUAAUAUGGCCA